rnacentral:lncRNA from 1 species
UUGCUAUCUUAACCAUGUUGAAAUGUGCAGUUAGUAAAGGACAUUCACAUUGUGGUGCAAGCCAUCACUACCAUCCAUCACUAGAACCCUUUUCAUCUUGCAGAUCUGAAACUCUACCCAUUAAACAACUUCCCAUCUUCCCAUCCCCACAGCUCCUAGCAACCAACAUUCUACUUUCUCUAUCAGUUUGACUACUCUAGGUACCUCAUAUGAGUAGAAUCAUACAGCAUUUAUCCUUCUCUGCCUGGCUUAUUUCACUUGUAUAAUGUCCUCAAGGUUCAU